rnacentral:rRNA from 1 species
GGUUAAGCGACUAAGCGUACACGGUGGAUGCCCUGGCAGUCAGAGGCGAUGAAGGACGUGCUAAUCUGCGAUAAGCGUCGGUAAGGUGAUAUGAACCGUUAUAACCGGCGAUUUCCGAAUGGGGAAACCCAGUGUGUUUCGACACACUAUCAUUAACUGAAUCCAUAGGUUAAUGAGGCGAACCGGGGGAACUGAAACAUCUAAGUACCCCGAGGAAAAGAAAUCAACCGAGAUUCCCCCAGUAGCGGCGAGCGAACGGGGAGCAGCCCAGAGCCUGAAUCAGUGUGUGUGUUAGUGGAAGCGUCUGGAAAGGCGCGCGAUACAGGGUGACAGCCCCGUACACAAAAAUGCACAUGCUGUGAGCUCGAUGAGUAGGGCGGGACACGUGGUAUCCUGUCUGAAUAUGGGGGGACCAUCCUCCAAGGCUAAAUACUCCUGACUGACCGAUAGUGAACCAGUACCGUGAGGGAAAGGCGAAAAGAACCCCGGCGAGGGGAGUGAAAAAGAACCUGAAACCGUGUACGUACAAGCAGUGGGAGCACGCUUAGGCGUGUGACUGCGUACCUUUUGUAUAAUGGGUCAGCGACUUAUAUUCUGUAGCAAGGUUAACCGAAUAGGGGAGCCGAAGGGAAACCGAGUCUUAACUGGGCGUUAAGUUGCAGGGUAUAGACCCGAAACCCGGUGAUCUAGCCAUGGGCAGGUUGAAGGUUGGGUAACACUAACUGGAGGACCGAACCGACUAAUGUUGAAAAAUUAGCGGAUGACUUGUGGCUGGGGGUGAAAGGCCAAUCAAACCGGGAGAUAGCUGGUUCUCCCCGAAAGCUAUUUAGGUAGCGCCUCGUGAAUUCAUCUCCGGGGGUAGAGCACUGUUUCGGCAAGGGGGUCAUCCCGACUUACCAACCCGAUGCAAACUGCGAAUACCGGAGAAUGUUAUCACGGGAGACACACGGCGGGUGCUAACGUCCGUCGUGAAGAGGGAAACAACCCAGACCGCCAGCUAAGGUCCCAAAGUCAUGGUUAAGUGGGAAACGAUGUGGGAAGGCCCAGACAGCCAGGAUGUUGGCUUAGAAGCAGCCAUCAUUUAAAGAAAGCGUAAUAGCUCACUGGUCGAGUCGGCCUGCGCGGAAGAUGUAACGGGGCUAAACCAUGCACCGAAGCUGCGGCAGCGACGCUUAUGCGUUGUUGGGUAGGGGAGCGUUCUGUAAGCCUGUGAAGGUGUGCUGUGAGGCAUGCUGGAGGUAUCAGAAGUGCGAAUGCUGACAUAAGUAACGAUAAAGCGGGUGAAAAGCCCGCUCGCCGGAAGACCAAGGGUUCCUGUCCAACGUUAAUCGGGGCAGGGUGAGUCGACCCCUAAGGCGAGGCCGAAAGGCGUAGUCGAUGGGAAACAGGUUAAUAUUCCUGUACUUGGUGUUACUGCGAAGGGGGGACGGAGAAGGCUAUGUUGGCCGGGCGACGGUUGUCCCGGUUUAAGCGUGUAGGCUGGUUUUCCAGGCAAAUCCGGAAAAUCAAGGCUGAGGCGUGAUGACGAGGCACUACGGUGCUGAAGCAACAAAUGCCCUGCUUCCAGGAAAAGCCUCUAAGCAUCAGGUAACAUCAAAUCGUACCCCAAACCGACACAGGUGGUCAGGUAGAGAAUACCAAGGCGCUUGAGAGAACUCGGGUGAAGGAACUAGGCAAAAUGGUGCCGUAACUUCGGGAGAAGGCACGCUGAUAUGUAGGUGAGGUCCCUCGCGGAUGGAGCUGAAAUCAGUCGAAGAUACCAGCUGGCUGCAACUGUUUAUUAAAAACACAGCACUGUGCAAACACGAAAGUGGACGUAUACGGUGUGACGCCUGCCCGGUGCCGGAAGGUUAAUUGAUGGGGUUAGCGCAAGCGAAGCUCUUGAUCGAAGCCCCGGUAAACGGCGGCCGUAACUAUAACGGUCCUAAGGUAGCGAAAUUCCUUGUCGGGUAAGUUCCGACCUGCACGAAUGGCGUAAUGAUGGCCAGGCUGUCUCCACCCGAGACUCAGUGAAAUUGAACUCGCUGUGAAGAUGCAGUGUACCCGCGGCAAGACGGAAAGACCCCGUGAACCUUUACUAUAGCUUGACACUGAACAUUGAGCCUUGAUGUGUAGGAUAGGUGGGAGGCUUUGAAGUGUGGACGCCAGUCUGCAUGGAGCCGACCUUGAAAUACCACCCUUUAAUGUUUGAUGUUCUAACGUUGACCCGUAAUCCGGGUUGCGGACAGUGUCUGGUGGGUAGUUUGACUGGGGCGGUCUCCUCCUAAAGAGUAACGGAGGAGCACGAAGGUUGGCUAAUCCUGGUCGGACAUCAGGAGGUUAGUGCAAUGGCAUAAGCCAGCUUGACUGCGAGCGUGACGGCGCGAGCAGGUGCGAAAGCAGGUCAUAGUGAUCCGGUGGUUCUGAAUGGAAGGGCCAUCGCUCAACGGAUAAAAGGUACUCCGGGGAUAACAGGCUGAUACCGCCCAAGAGUUCAUAUCGACGGCGGUGUUUGGCACCUCGAUGUCGGCUCAUCACAUCCUGGGGCUGAAGUAGGUCCCAAGGGUAUGGCUGUUCGCCAUUUAAAGUGGUACGCGAGCUGGGUUUAGAACGUCGUGAGACAGUUCGGUCCCUAUCUGCCGUGGGCGCUGGAGAACUGAGGGGGGCUGCUCCUAGUACGAGAGGACCGGAGUGGACGCAUCACUGGUGUUCGGGUUGUCAUGCCAAUGGCACUGCCCGGUAGCUAAAUGCGGAAGAGAUAAGUGCUGAAAGCAUCUAAGCACGAAACUUGCCCCGAGAUGAGUUCUCCCUGACUCCUUGAGAGUCCUGAAGGAACGUUGAAGACGACGACGUUGAUAGGCCGGGUGUGUAAGCGCAGCGAUGCGUUGAGCUAACCGGUACUAAUGAACCGUGAGGCUUAACCUU